AAACUUUCAACAACGGAUCUCUUGGUUCUGGCAUCGAUGAAGAACGCAGCGAAAUGCGAUAAGUAAUGUGAAUUGCAGAAUUCAGUGAAUCAUCGAAUCUUUGAACGCACAUUGCGCCCGCCAGUAUUCUGGCGGGAAUGCCUGUCCGAGCGUCAUUU
rnacentral:rRNA from 2 species